rnacentral:rRNA from 1 species
UACAGAGGUCUCGAGCGUUAGGCGGAAUCACUGGGCGUAAAGCGUCUGUAGGUGGUCAAAUAAGUCAACUGUUAAAUCUUGAGGCUCAACCUCAAAAUCGCAGUCGAAACUAUUCGACUAGAGUAUAGUAGGGGUAAAGGGAAUUUCCAGUGGAGCGGUGAAAUGCGUAGAGAUUGGAAAGAACACCGAUGGCGAAGGCACUUUACUGGGCUAUUACUAACACUGAGAGACGAAAGCUAGGGUAGCAAAUGGG